GAGCACGUAGGUGGGUUUGUAAGUCAGAUGUGAAAGCCUUCUGUUCAACGGAAGAAUUGCAUCUGAAACUGCGAGUCUUAAGUGUAGGAGGGGAGAAUGGAACUUCUGGUGGAGCGGUGAAAUGCGUAGAUAUCAGAAGGAACGCCGGCGGCGAAAGCGAUUCUCUGGCCUAUUACUGACACUCAGUGUGCGAAAGCUAGGGAAGCAAACGGGAUUAGAUACCCCGGUAGUCCUAGCCGUAAACGAUGGGCACUAAGUAGAGGGGUUUU
rnacentral:rRNA from 1 species